UACGAAGGGGGCUAGCGUUGCUCGGAAUCACUGGGCGUAAAGGGCUCGUAGGCGGCCAACUAAGUCGGAUGUGAAAUCCCCAGGCUCAACUUGGGAACUGCAUCCGAUACUGGAUGGCUUGAAUUCGGGAGAGGGGUGCAGAAUUCCAGGUGUAGCGGUGAAAUGCGUAGAUAUCUGGAGGAAUACCGGUGGCGAAGGCGGCAUCCUGGACCGACAUUGACGCUGAGGAGCGAAAGCUAGGGGAGCAAACGGG
rnacentral:rRNA from 1 species